rnacentral:rRNA from 1 species
GAAUUUUGCGCAAUGGCCGAAAGGCUGACGCAGCAAGGCCGCGUGGGUGAAGAAGGCCUUCGGGUUGUAAAGCUCUUUUGUCCGGAAAGAAAAGCUUUCGGUUAAUACCCGGAAGUCCUGACGGUACCGGAAGAAUAAGCACCGGCUAACUUCGUGCCAGCAGCCGCGGUAAUACGAAGGGUGCAAGCGUUACUCGGAAUUACUGGGCGUAAAGCGUGCGUAGGUGGUUUGUUAAGUCUGAUGUGAAAGCCCUGGGCUCAACCUGGGAAUUGCACUGGAUACUGGCAGGCUAGAGUGCGGUAGAGGAUGGCGGAAUUCCCGGUGUAGCAGUGAAAUGCGUAGAGAUCGGGGGGAACAUCCGUGGCGAAGGCGGCCAUCUGGACCAGCACUGACACUGAGGCACGAAAGCGUGGGGAGCAAAC